GGUGGCACGGUAGUAUUUGCAUUCCAGAAUUUAGGUUGCUCUUUAGGUAAAUGUAUCUAAACAGUGUGAUUGGACAAAAAAUACAGUAUCAACUGAACAUACUUUCUCAAACUGAGGGAUGAAUCAGGUGUAGAAAAAUAUGAAAUAAUUUUACAUACAGAUGAAAAUGAAUUUUUGAGAAUUUUUUUGAAUUUUGUAUUCACUGC
rnacentral:lncRNA from 1 species